UACGUAGGUGGCAAGCGUUGUCCGGAUUUAUUGGGUUUAAAGGGUGCGUAGGCGGCCCUGUAAGUCAGUGCUGAAAUACCCCGGCUUAACCGGGGGGGUGGCAUUGAUACUGCAGGGCUUGAGUACAGAUGAGGUAGGCGGAAUUGACGGUGUAGCGGUGAAAUGCAUAGAUAUCGUCAAGAACACCUAUAGCGAAGGCAGCUUACUGAGCUGUAACUGACGCUGAGGCACGAAAGUGUGGGGAUCAAACAGG
rnacentral:rRNA from 1 species